rnacentral:lncRNA from 1 species
UGGUCGAACUCUUUCCAUUGCCUAACUUCUUCUCUUCAACCUAACACCGAAUCUUUCAAAUGACCUAAAUUCCACUAAUUUUUUAUGAAGAUAGUAAGGUAACCAUUUGCCCAAAGCACAUAGCAAACCAGGUAACAGCAUCAAAGGCCGUAAUGAUGAAGAAGCGGGUUCCUGGUAGUUGACAUUAUUUGAAAUGCCUAUCACCCAAAUGAAGAUUAGACUUUAGAUCAACCAAGUGAAGAUUAGACUUAAGGUCAACAAUGCAAGAGUAUCAAUGCUUCGGUGUAACAUACUUCGAUUUGGAUACAAGUUAUGUCAACUCUCAGGCUUGAUUAACUGGAAAAAUACUAGUUCACAGCAAUGUAAUGCUAUUUAUGACUUGUUCUUAAAUCACUAGAAGUGGUUCUCAAUAAAGACGCUUUAGAACUGGGCACCAUCUGGGGUCAUGAUUUUGGUGUUUCUAAAGCAUUUGCUUGUGAAAAUAAAAACAUGUAAACAGUCAGCAUCACUUCAUGCAUAAAUGAAGUAAAGGAUCAAGAUAUCAGCAAGUCUUUCAAACACAAGUUUUUCAUAAGAGAUUCUUGCAACAAAUUGCUCAGUAGGAGACGUGCAUGUUGGUAUCUAAAAAGGACUCUCCUAUCUAAAAGAAUGAAACUGAUGGUGUUAAUGAUGGUUGCACAGUUAUACAGACCAUGAGAAUUUCAUCAUAUGGAUUUGUAGCUGGCACCGAAUCAGGAGUAUUACAAUACCAACGAGGGUCAGCUAAUGCCUAGGAUUUUGAGCAAUGGAAAUUAGUUAUAUAAAUAAAGAACAUGAAUGAGAAGUACAUACUAUAAAGCUAUCACCACCAACAGUUGAUAGUAAGUGAAGAAAACUAAGGCAGAAGAAGCUAGCCAGUAUGACUCAUGUCUGUCUGAUGUUCAAGUU